rnacentral:rRNA from 1 species
UACCAGCACCCCGAGUGGUCGGGACGAUUAUUGGGCCUAAAGCAUCCGUAGCCGGUUCUUUAAGUCCUCCGUUAAAUCCACCUGCUUAACAGAUGGGCUGCGGAGGAUACUAUAGAGCUAGGAGGCGGGAGAGGCAAGCGGUACUUAGUGGGUAGGGGUAAAAUCCGUUGAUCCAUUGAAGACCACCAGUGGCGAAGGCGGCUUGCCAGAACGCACUCGACGGUGAGGGAUGAAAGCUGGGGGAGCAAACCGG